rnacentral:lncRNA from 1 species
AAAUGAUGCUCAGAGAAGAACAGCCUGCACCAGGCUGAAACCUAGUGAACAGCAAAGCAGAACCUCAGUCCUAGGUCUCUCGACUCAAAAACAAAUAGGCCCACCUGCCUUCCCCCACCCCAUCCCUCAAAGCUAUAUCGUGGAUUUGCUUUACCCCGAGAGCCAGAUCACAUCUAUAGGAUACUUGUAAUGCCUCCACUCAUGAACAGGUACAUCCCAAUUCAUUCCACUUUUGAGUAGUUCCUUACCUGAGGUGGAAAUGCAAUAAUCAUUUCUUGGUAGAUGCUGUAGAGAAUUGACCGAUAAAUACUAAGACACAGUUCACCAUCCCCUGACCUGCCAAAUAAUGGACACAGCCCAGUAGGGGACAUAAGACUUGUAUACAGCUAUCAUGUACUUGAUCAGGCACGUCUUCUAAAGGAUUUGAAGCUCAGCAGAGAGUGAAGAAGCUUGAAGGAAAGCCUGGAGGAGGUGGCAUUUGAGCUAAAUCUUUAGAGUUGGUAUUUUGGUAGGUGCAGAUUCAGAAAGGAGAGGAACUUCACUAGAUGCAAGGUCCUGUUGAAGGUUCAAGAUGGUGAGACACAUAAUUGGGAGGACAUGGGAGAAUAUCCAAAUUAGGCAGUAACAUGAUCAAAACUGUGCUCCAGGAGGAAGAUUAGAAGAUGGAAUUGAGUUUAGAGAAGACUGGAGUUCAGGAGAUGAGGUAGGAGGGUUUGGUUAGGAUGAGAUGAUAGGAGCACCCAGUAAAAAACGAGGGAGACCAACGUGAAGGGUGUUGCUGAAGUGGAAUCAGUCAGGCUUGGCAGCACAUUGCUUUUGUUGGAGGGGAUGGGUAAAGUUUUAAAGCUAGAUGCCGGAAAGAAUGAUGCUGAUUGAAAUAAAGAACGGGUGCAUUUCUGGCUGACGUGUCCUAGGAGAGGCCUAGACAUGAACUAGUGCAGUUGUUCCCACCCACUCAGCCUCAAACACCAGCACCUCCUCCCGUCUCCUCUUUGGCUGUCACCUCUUUGCUCUGGCUUCUGCCUCUUCAGCCUCCUGUGCUGCCUUUUGCACCUGUUCAUCUGACGUUUUAACCCCUCCCUGCUGGGUCCUUGUCCCCCGACUCAAUUUGGUGCUCCCUCUGCCAUCAGUACCUCCAGUGCAGCUGGUGGUGCAUCAGUCACCAUCUCUUAUAUAUAAUGGCUUCACACUUGAAAGAGCAGGAAAGACUAUAGUUGAUGCUUAACAACCAGGGGGCUAGGGGUGCCCACCACCCCCAGCUGUGGAAAAUCCGCUUAUAACUUUACAUUCAGCCCUCUGUAUCUGCAGUUCUGCAUCUGGGGAUUCAAUCAACUGCAGACGGUGUGCUGUAGUACCCAUUUACUGAAAAAAAAAAAUCUGAGUAUAAGUGGACCAGCACAGUUGAAAUCCAUGUUGUUCAAGGGUCAACGGGAUUUCUUUUUUUAUUUUUUUAAAUAUUUAUUUAUUUAAUUUAUUUUGGCUGCGCUGUGCCAGGUCUUAAUUGCAAAUUGCAACAUGCAGGAUCUUAUUUUUUAUUUUUAUUUUUUUUACUUUUGGCACGCGGGCUUCUUAGUUGCGGCAUGCAUGUGGGAUCUAGUUCCCCGACGAGGGAUCGAACCCAGGCCCCUGCAUUGGGAGUGUGGAAUCUUACCUACUGGACCACCAGGAAAGUCCCUCAACUGGAUUUCUUUAUCUUGAGCUUCAAUUCUUUUCUAGCUGGCAUCCACAAAUUUCAGCGUAUUUUUUAAGUGUCCCAUGUUGUGUAAAGGUACACUGGCUGAGAGGGGAUGUUAAUUCCCAUGUAUCCCUAUUACAGUCUGUUUCCAAAAAUCAAACAUGGAAUCCUACCUUAUUAAUGCAUUAAAAAUUAGCAAAUAUUUUAGGAACUUUUCAGGGAGAAUCUUAAAAUGCAUUGGCUUUUUUUUUUUUUUAAGAAGAAAGAGAACAGAAGAGAGGUAUGGUGGGGCAGUGCAUUUGAGUUGUCAACAGCUUCUGCAGUGUCAGGUCAAUUACAUCAACACUUGGUCUGGACCAGAGGAAAGGAAUGGUUCUGCCCCCUGGGAAUGUCAGAAGGACCUGAUAAUUAUAUUUGGCAAAGCCAAGAAGAGUGGCUCUGUAAUGUCAUUGCUAAGAAUUACCCUUUUAAUAGUAUCUCUGGAUGUCUGAGCUGUUCAAAUGGAAUGACACUUCUUUUCUGCUGUGGCUUUCAUCUCUUUUGGGCUGCUUCCCAGCUGGUCCUUUUGUUCUUCCUUGCCCUUUUCUAUCUUCUGCCUUCCCAGCCCUGUUUCUCCAACCCCUCCUUCUGCACCCACAGCAGUUUUCACUGUCCCCCCUUUUACAGUUGGAGUCAUGUGAGAAUGUGUGUAAGGGAGAUACUUGCCCAAAACCAGCAUAUUCAACAUGUGGUAUCAAUAAGGUGAAGUGUAGCCUUGGACUAGACAAAAUAUCGACCAUCUGCUUCCUUGCUGCAUCUGCUACUUUUGUGUUGGUGGGACUCAGAAGUCACGGAAAAGGUCACCAGUGAUUCAUGUCUGCAACAAAUUCUUUUCUAAUUGUGCCGUAUAUUAUGCCCUUCAAUACAACUUACUAAUCUCUGCCUCAGUUUUUCCAUCUGUGAAAGUGGUGUAAUACUUAUCUACCUCCCUUGAAUGUUGUAAAGAUUAGUCUAUGUUAGUAAAGCACUUUUGAAAUAAAGAGUGAUGUAAAGCAUUUU